GCUCUUGCCCAAGCCACUGAGAGCGGGACGCGGGGCUAGGUCAGAGUAGGAAGGAGUCGCUGAGCUGAAUCUUUGUGGAGUGGAGUGGGGCGAGAGUCCUCCGAGUAGUCUGGAAAAUUAGACUUCUGAGCCUUAAUUCAUACUUAUAAGCAGCUAGUAAAUUGUAAAAUAUAGUGAAGCAAUGUAGUGUAGUAACUAAAACCCCAAGCUUUGGAGCCAGAUUGGGCCUUUAACCCUAAAGUUGCCGUUUAUUUUGACUGGCGAGUCAUUUACUUAUAGAUUUAUUUAUUUUUAUUUUUAUUUUUUUCUGAGACAGGGUCUCACUCUGUCUUCUAGGCUGUUGUGCAGUGGUGCGAUCUUGGCUCACUACAACCUCCGCCUCCCGGGUUCAAGCGAUUGUCCCACCUCAGCCUCCUGAGUAGCUGGGAUUACAGGCUUCCACCAUCACGCCUGGCUGAUGUUUGUAUUUUCAGUAGAGAGGGGGUUUCACCAUGUUGGCCAGGCUGGUGUCGAUCUCCUGACCUCGAGUGAUCCGCCCGCCUCGGCCUCCCAAUGUGCUGGGAUUACAGGCGUGAGCCACCGCGCCUGGCCAUUUAAUUAACUCUUUAAUACUGUUUCUCCUGUAAGAUGAACUAGCUGUGAGAGGUUUCUGGGAUAUUGGUUCACUCAGCAAGGAUGUUUAAAAAUGCCUUCUAUGUGCCAGACGCUGUUGUAGGUACCGGGAAUAUGGCGGUUAAAUUAAGAGGGUGAAGGUUUCUGCUCUGAUACAGUUUAUAUUCUAAAUGUGAGAGGACAGACCAGUUAGAUAGAUGUAAAUUAAAUAAUUAAAUAGAUGAUUUUUACAUACUGUAGAGCUAUAGAGAAAAUAUAGCUGGAUGGGUGAUAGUGACUUGGGGAUGGGGGUGGCUACUCUGGAUAGGGUAGUUUAAGGUGACAUCUCUGUGCAGAUGUAGAAUGGGCUAGUGCUUUCUAAGAACUGAAAGAUCAGUGAAGAAGGGGAGCAUAGUGACUGAGGAGUAGUGUGGCAUUAGAUGGGGUCUGAGAGUUACACAGGAACAUGUGGAGCCUGUAGGCCAUGGUAAAGCCUUUUUCUACUCUUCUGGUGAUUUAAAGCCAUUGUAAAGUUUUGAGCUUGGGAGUAGGUAGCAAAAUAAGAUUUAUAUUUUUAUGGGGUUACUCUGGCUGUUGAGAGGAGAAAAAGACAUGAAUCUGGGAGGCCACUUGGGAAGCAAGGCCAUCAGUGAAGAGAAAGAGUGGGAGAAAAAGGUUUGAGGAGAGAAGGUAUAGGACUUUCACUAACCUUGGACCAUAUAUUUGCCAGGAAGAAUGUAAGUUCUCCAACAUCUUCAAAUAAAGAAGUGGUUAUGAGGAAUGAUCAGAAUAAUGGAGAUAUGAAACCAUUCCAGAAUUUCACAACAAUACCAAUCACACAGGCUCUCAACUACAAUCUGAGCAAAGAAGGGCAUUUAGAAAAAGAACCUUGGAAUGCAUUCAGCCAUCAUGGCCCAGUUAAUGUCUCCAUCAAUGGAAUUCCUUGCAUUCUCUUCUGGGCCAAAAGAAUAAUGAUUAAAUUUAAGAAUCAAACCUGGCUGGACCUUACAGACGAGCCAUUUGGUCAGAAGGUAACUGUGGACCCUGACAACUCAAAUUGCAGUGAAGAAAGUGCUAGAAAAAAAAAGUAGGCUCCUUUGUAUAGGACCCUGACACACAUCUUUGAGGAAGUAUUUACUGUCUAAAAUAAAGGAACAAGUCAGAAGUUAACUUCAAAAAUUGUUGGCUGGGCAUGGUGGCUCACGCCUGUAAUCCCAGCACUUCGGGAGGCCAAGGGAGUGGAUCACCUGAGGUCAGGAGUUGGAGACAAGCCUGGCCAACAUGGUGAAACCUCGUCUCUACUAAAAUACAAAAAUUAGCCGGGCGUGGUGGCAGGUGCCUGUAAUCCCAGCUACUCAGGAGGCUGAGACAGGAGAAUUGCUUGAACCUGGGAGGUGGAGGUUGUGGUGAGCUGAGAUCGCGCCAUUGCUCUCCAGCUUGGGUGACAGAGUGAGUGAGACUCCAUCUCAAAAAAAAAAAAUUGUUAUAUUUUCCCGGCAGUUUUCUUCUGAACCUUUUUGCUAAUUGUCGGAAUAACUUGUAGAAAAUGAGACUUUGGAAAGCAAGGGUUCUCAAACUCGUUUUGAAAACAGCAAAGGAUUCCAGGCUUGGUCUCAACUCCAAAUGGUUGUCUUUGAAGCUUGGUGAUGCUGGAAACCCCAGAAGUCUUGCUAUAAGAUUCAUCCUUACCAAUUACAACAAGUUGUCCAUCCAGAGUUGGUUUAGUUUGCGCCGAGUCGAGAUCAUUUCCAACAAUUCAAUCCAAGCAGUCUUUAACCCAACUGGCGUAUAUGCUCCCUCUGGUUACUCCUACCGCUGCCAACGCGUGGGCAGCCUGCAGCAGGACCAGGCCCUCUUGCUGCCCAGCGACACGGAUGAUGGGUCGAGCCUGUGGGAGGUCACUUUUAUUGAUUUCCAGAUCCAAGGUUUUGCCAUCAAGGGGGGACGAUUUACCAAAGCCCAAGACUGCGCCUCCUCCUUCUCGCCAGCUUUUCUGAUCGGCCUGGCAAUGUCCCUGAUCCUGCUGCUGGUGUUGGCCUAUGCCCUGCACAUGCUCAUCUACCUGCGGUAUCUGGACCAACAAUAUGAUCUCAUCGCCUCUCCUGCCCACUUCUCGCAGCUGAAAGCUCGAGACACAGCCGAAGAGAAGGAGCUGCUGAGGAGCCAGGGGGCUGAAUGCUAUAAACUGAGAAGCCAACAGAUCAGCAAAAUCUAUGUUUAGCAGCACAGGCUGGCCCCCACCAUGUCCACAGUGGGCUCCGAAAGUUGUCUCUGUUCUGUGCUAUUUGACUUGUGAAUUACAGAUUUUCACCAAAUGGCUUGAUUACAAAAAAAAAGAAAAAACACAAAAAGGAAAUAGAUAAUGAAUUCUUUUUGAACCAUCCACUGGCCUACUUAGGUAGACUUGGGGCAAUCAAAAAAGGCAUCUCAGGGAUCCCACAGAGACAAAUAUGACUGUUAGUUGCCUCAAAGUACCCUGAAAGCAAAGGGGUAUUUCAAGUACGGAAAAAGAGAGAGAGAGAAGAAGAAGGAGGAGGAGGAGGAGGAGGAGAAGGAGAAGGAGGAGCAGGAGGAAGAGGAGGAGGAGGAGGAAAGGGAGGGAGGGAGGGAGAGGGAGAGAGAGAGAAAGAUUGGCAACACAGAGAAGGGAAAACACACUUGGUCCUCCUUGCCUGUGCCAGUUUGGAUGUGACAAUUAUAGAAAUAAUAAACCAAGAUUAUCUGGAA